CAGAAGCCAGGAGGUGUUAGGAACAGACUAUAAGACAUGGUUGUUCUGGAGGAAAAAGGGUAAAACUUAAGAGGAAAUAACAGGCACCUGGGAAAACCCACGAAGUAAAGUUUUGUAAGAAGUUGCUCUGCUCCCCGCGAGAAAAUGCCGAGCUCAACACGGCCAAGAGGAACAAGUCUGGGAAAUUACGACAUGAGAUGUGACCAGAUGUUGAUGACCUCAUG